rnacentral:rRNA from 1 species
GGAAUAUUGCGCAAUGGAGGCAACUCUGACGCAGCCAUGCCGCGUGGGUGAAGAAGGCCUUCGGGUUGUAAAGCCCUUUCGACGGGGAAGAUGAUGACGGUACCCGUAUAAGAAGCCCCGGCUAACUUCGUGCCAGCAGCCGCGGUAAUACGAAGGGGGCUAGCGUUGUUCGGAAUUACUGGGCGUAAAGGGCGCGUAGGCGGAUCGGCCAGUCAGGGGUGAAAUCCCGGGGCUCAACCUCGGAACUGCCUUUGAUACUGCCGAUCUAGAGUCUGUGAGAGGGUGGCGGAAUACCCAGUGUAGAGGUGAAAUUCGUAGAUAUUGGGUAGAACACCAGUGGCGAAGGCGGCCACCUGGCACAGUACUGACGCUGAGGCGCGAAAGCGUGGGGAGCAA